rnacentral:rRNA from 1 species
UACGGAGGGGGCUAGCGUUGUUCGGAAUUACUGGGCGUAAAGCGCACGUAGGCGGCUUUGCAAGUCAGAGGUGAAAGCCCGGGGCUCAGCCCCGGAAUUGCCUUUGAGACUGCAUCGCUAGAAUUGUGGAGAGGUAGGUGGAAUUCCGAGUGUAGAGGUGAAAUUCGUAGAUAUUCGGAAGAACACCAGUGGCGAAGGCGACUUACUGGACACAUAUUGACGCUGAGGUGCGAAAGCGUGGGGAGCAAACAGG